rnacentral:misc_RNA from 1 species
CUGAGUUAGGGUCUUCACAGGCUCAAUCUCCAACCCUCUGUCAAACUUACUACGUUGCUUUGGCGAGCCUGUCAAUAUUGGACCGCUUAAACGAGCGAGUGCUCGCCAAUAGCCCACUUAAAUUCAUUAUAAUUAUGUCGUCUGAUAUCAAGUAUUUAAUUAUAUA